GGAAAGCGGCGGAAGGGAGAGGACAACAUGGGAAACUGCCCUGGGGACGAGGAUAGCGUCGGGAAACUGACGGUAAUACUCGAUAAUGUUUGCGGACCAAAGGUGUGAUUCCGCCCCAGGAUGUGCCCAUGCCCCAUUAGCUAGUUGGCGGUGUAAUGGACCACCAAGGCUAUGAUGGGUAGCUGGUGUGAGAGCACGACCAGCCUCACUGGCACUGAGACACUGGCCAGACACCUACGGGUGGCUGCAGUCGAGAAUCUUCGGCAAUGGACGAAAGUCUGACCGAGCGACGCCGCGUGCGGGAUGAAGGCCUUCGGGUUGUAAACCGCUGUCGAGGGGAAUCAAAUGCAAGGGGGUUCUCCCCCCUGCUUGAGAGAACCCUGGAGGAAGGGGAGGCUAAGCUCGUGCCAGCAGCCGCGGUAAGACGAGCUCCCCAAACGUUAUUCGGUAUCACUGGGCUUAAAGAGUUCGUAGGCGGCGAAGUAGGUGAGGUGUGAAAGCCCUCGGCU
rnacentral:rRNA from 1 species